ACCCAUGUUGAGAAGACACUACUAACGUCCAGUGGGAAACAAGUAGACAAUUGAUGAAGCUCAAAAAACAGAAGGGUUAGUGUUGUAAGAGCAAACAGUCUAAUCCUGUUUGGAAUGUGGAAGCCAUUUCUGAGCAAGUAUGAGGACACAGGUGCUUGAUUUGAGAUUGAAGACUAUUUUCAGCCUGGUCUUCCUGAAGGUUUCCUGGGGCCUGCGUCUGCCUUCUACUCCCAUGGCUGCUAGCACACACCUCCCAGAGGGCCAUAUUGCCACAUUAUGGUUAGAGAAGAAUAAAGAAGUAAAGAAGCUCUGAGAACAUUCACAGUUGUGCAUACUGACCCUGAAUCAAAUCAGGUUUCUGCCUACAAGAAGGAAGAAGAAAUGGCAGCUAGGUUCUCUCUCUUUGCCUGCUGCCAUCUACAUAAGAUGUGACUUGCUCCUCCUUGCCUUCUGCCAUGAUUGUGAGGCCUCCCCAGCCAUGUGCAACUCAAGAAAACUCUCACCAGAUGCCAGCCCUUCAAUUUUGGAUUUCCCAGCCUCCAGAACUAAAAACCACCUACAAGGACUCCUCAAACUCACAAUAAACAUAGACUGUUCUCAUAGGGCUUUGCCAUGCCUGGAGUUCUUCAACCCAGGAAAAGUGGCUACAAGACCUUGAUGUUCCACUCAGAGGACCAGGGAUUAUGGUGGGAGAGAUGACAUAAGGACUGAAAUCACACAAAGGUGCAAAUGACUAAUGCCAGUAGGUUUCUGGAAGCAGGUUCCGUAGACUUGAGGGUGCACUCCGAGGAAAGCUGAGUGAUGAGGAAGCACCAGGAAGGAAGUGCUCAGAAAAGGGGAGGCCGGUGGCUGGAGUGGCUCCUGGUCUAGCAGUUCUUCAUGUCCAUCUUGUUUUCUUUCCAAGGGAAUUUCAGCCUUACCUUUGCCCAGGUUUGGGUGGCAAUGAUAGGGACAGGAAAAGAGAAAUUCUGGGCAGAAGUGGGCGGGUCUCCAGCAAGGGCCUCACCCUCAAGCCUAAAACUAUGGCCCAAAGUGAGAACAUUCCUGUUUUCCUGCUUGACUGUUGCCUUUUCCAAAACCACCCAUGGCCCGCCCCACUCCUAACCUGUGCCCAAGAAAGCCCCAGGCUCCGCUAGCAGAGAGAGAAGAGAAGAAGCAGCUGGAUGUCAGAGACUAUGGUUGAAUGUCGGAGAGAAGGGGCUUGACUUCAGAGGGACAGCUUGAUGGCAUAGCUUUGGAGAGGAGUCUGGCCAGGGAUGGCCAGACUCCGGGGGAAGAUUACCUACCCACUCCCUCCCCUUCUCAGCAUCCCUUCUCACUGAGAGUCACUUUCAUCAGCAAUAAAAUCCCCUGCAUUUAUCAUCUCCAA